AGAAUCUUGCAGGAAUACAUUUAAAUAUUGACAUUCCCAAGUGGUUGCAUAUACUUCAUUUGGACCGGCUUAAUUCAUAUGCAGUGCAAUUGCUUGAGAAUAGAAGCAAAGCCUUUGAACCAACUUAUAUAUACACUAUGGAAAAGGGAUAUUUCUUGCUACCUGAAGGAGCAAAGUCUUGCCAUAAUAUUCGUACCGUUAACAUUAGCAUAUCAGCUCGGAAUUCCUUUUUUGGAAACAGCUUAUAUCUUCCAAACAUAACUUAACCAUUGUCGGGGUGGUUUGAAUUGAGCUUGGAAGUGACAAUUUUUCUGAAGAACCUAUUUUUUCAAUAAGUUUUUUUGUUAAGUCCGAGUUUUUAAUUCUUAUUUGGAUAUCUAUUUUGAAAUUUUAAUCUUUGUGGUACUUAUCAAAAAAGAAAGAUUUAAUUUAA